ACGAGUUUUAAUUGUUAGGUUAGAGUUGAGCUGGUUAAUCUAAUUAAUAUGUGCUUACUCUAAUCGAAACGAGUCCACUCAUUACUUAACACUUGUGAACUUAUUCAUUACAAACAUUAUUAUUUGUUAUUGGUAACGUUUGAUUAUUAAAAAGUUAAUA
rnacentral:misc_RNA from 1 species